rnacentral:lncRNA from 1 species
UCCUCCCCCCUCUUCCCCCCACCCGGGGAGGGCUGCUACAAUUUGUGGUUACAGCUUUACACGUCAGAAAAAAAAAAGUUUGCAGAAUGUCCCACACCGAAAAAAAAAUGCGAAACCGAGAGAAAAAAACCUGCGAGUGGGCCUGGCGGAUGGGAUUAUUAAAGCUUCGCCGGAGCCGCGGCUCGCCCUCCCACUCCGCCAGCCUCUGGGAGAGGAGCCGCGCCCGGCCGGCCCGGCCCCCAGCCCCAUGGACCUCCGAGCAGGGGAAGACACCCAGUCCCUCAGCCAGGAGGAAACAGAGCUGGAGCUGCUGAGGCAGUUUGACCUGGCCUGGCAGUAUGGGCCUUGUACAGGUAUCACAAGGCUGCAGCGCUGGAGUCGGGCAGAGCAGAUGGGCUUGAAGCCCCCCCUAGAGGUGUACCAAGUGUUGAAGGCACACCCUGAAGACCCUCACUUCCAAUGCAGCCUGUGGCAUCUCUACCCACUCUGAGGUACCCCCACGUUGUCCUUCUCUGGGCACCUCCUAGCCACCAAGAACUUCAGGACAGACAUCAUGGCCUGCUCUGCUCAUUCCAACCUUGGAGAAACAGCAGGCUGACUGUGGAGGUCUUCCUGGUUCAGCUUCUUCUCCAUCUAAACAGCAGGCUGCUGAAGCUCCUGGGACCUGUGAAGCUGAGCACCUCCACGCCCUAAUCAUGACCACCAGAUGCCCACCCGCCACACCCCUGACCUACGGUGUGGCAAAUCCAGCACAGGCUGGCAUAAACCAGAUGUCGGCAGAUAACCUAAAGGGCCCACCUUGGGCAUCUAGCUGAGGGCACAGAUGAGUGAGUUAUUGGAUCAAGGAGCUCACUAAUGCUUACAAUAAAGUACAUUAAGCCUGAGA